rnacentral:rRNA from 1 species
UACGUAGGGGGCAAGCGUUGUCCGGAUUUACUGGGCGUAAAGGGCGCGUAGGCGGCCUGCUAAGUCGGAUGUGAAAUCCCUCGGCUCAACCGAGGAACUGCAUCCGAUACUGGCGGGCUUGAAUCCGGGAGAGGGAUGUGGAAUUCCAGGUGUAGCGGUGAAAUGCGUAGAUAUCUGGAGGAACACCGGUGGCGAAGGCGGCAUCCUGGACCGGUAUUGACGCUGAGGCGCGAAAGCUAGGGGAGCAAACGGG